GACGAACGCUGGCGGCGUGCUUAACACAUGCAAGUCGAACGGUAAGGCCCUUCGGGGUACACGAGUGGCGAACGGGUGAGUAACACGUGGGUGAUCUGCCCUGCACUUCGGGAUAAGCCUGGGAAACUGGGUCUAAUACCGGAUAGGACCACUGCCUGCAUGGGUGGUGGUGGAAAGCUUUUGCGGUGUGGGAUGGGCCCGCGGCCUAUCAGCUUGUUGGUGGGGUGAUGGCCUACCAAGGCGACGACGGGUAGCCGGCCUGAGAGGGGGACCGGCGACACUGGGACGGGGAUACGGCCCAGACUCCUACGGGAGGCGGCAGUGGGGAAUAUUGCACAAUGGGCGCAAGCCUGAUGCAGCGACGCCGCGUGAGGGAUGACGGCCUUCGGGUUGAAACCUCUUUCAGCACCGACGAAGCGCAAGUGACGGUAGGUGCAGAAGAAGGACCGGCCAACUACGUGCCAGCCGCCGCCGUAA
rnacentral:rRNA from 1 species